GAAAUGCGAUAAGUAAUGUGAAUUGCAGAAUUCAGUGAAUCAUCGAAUCUUUGAACGCACCUUGCGCUCCUUGGUAUUCCUUGGAGAAUGCCUGUUUGAGUAUCAUGAAAUCUUCAAAGUAAAUCUUUUGUUACCUCAAUUGGUUUCUACUUUGGUAUUGGAGGUCUUUGCAGCUUCACACCUGCUCCUCUUUGUUCAUUAGCUGGAUCUCAGUGUUAUGCUUGGUUCCACUCGGCGUGAUAAGUUAUCUAUCGCUGAGGACACUGUAAAAGGUGGCCAAGGUAAAUGCAGAUGAACCGCUUCUAAUAGUCCAUUGACUUGGACAAUACUUUUAUGAUCUGAUCUCAAAUCAGGUAGGACUACCCGCUGAACUUAAGC
rnacentral:misc_RNA from 1 species